rnacentral:rRNA from 1 species
GACGAACGCUGGCGGCGUGCUUAACACAUGCAAGUCGAACGGAAAGGCCCUGCUUUUGUGGGGUGCUCGAGUGGCGAACGGGUGAGUAACACGUGAGUAACCUGCCCUUGACUUUGGGAUAACUUCAGGAAACUGGGGCUAAUACCGGAUAGGAGCUCCUGCUGCAUGGUGGGGGUUGGAAAGUUUCGGCGGUUGGGGAUGGACUCGCGGCUUAUCAGCUUGUUGGUGGGGUAGUGGCUUACCAAGGCUUUGACGGGUAGCCGGCCUGAGAGGGUGACCGGCCACAUUGGGACUGAGAUACGGCCCAGACUCCUACGGGAGGCAGCAGUGGGGAAUAUUGCACAAUGGGCGGAAGCCUGAUGCAGCAACGCCGCGUGCGGGAUGACGGCCUUCGGGUUGUAAACCGCUUUCGCCUGUGACGAAGCGUGAGUGACGGUAAUGAGUAAAGAAGCACCGGCUAACUACAUG